UACGUAGGUGGCAAGCGUUGUCCGGAAUUACAGGGCGUAAAGGGUGCGUAGGCGGAUAUUUAAGUAGAAAGUGAAAGGUUGGAGCUCAACUCCAACAUUGCUUCCUAUACUGGAUGUCUUGAGUUUCGGAGAGGAAGAUGGAACGACACGUGUAGAGGUGAAAUGCGUAGAUAUGUGUCGGAACACCAAUAGCGAAGGCAAUCUUCUGGACGAAUACUGACGCUGAGGCGCGAAAGCGAAGGUAGCGAACAGG
rnacentral:rRNA from 1 species